ACUAAAGGGCCACAAUUAUCUUUUUAAUUGUCAUUUCUCCCUCAUAUGUACCUACAGUGCCUUCAUCUUUCUCUAAGGGUCCAAAGUAAUAAUACUCUUGAUGUAGGACGAGUCCGUAAAAGUUGUUUAGAACAAUAUAAAAGGCUUUGGAAGCCUAUAUGAGUUAGAAGUUGUAUUUUAAUUAAUUUCUUUAAUUUGUAGUUAUUGUAUUAAAGUCCAAUUUAGAUUAGAAAAG
rnacentral:lncRNA from 1 species